AUACAGAGGGUGCGAGCGUUAAUCGGAGUUACUGGGCGUAAAGGGCGCGUAGGCGGAUGAUUAAGUCAGUUGUGAAAUCCCAGGGCUUAACCUUGGAACUGCAAUUGAUACUGAUUGACUAGAGUCGAAGAGAGGGAAGCGGAAUUUCCGGUGUAGCGGUGAAAUGCGUAGAUAUCGGAAGGAACACCCGUGGCGAAGGCGGCUUCCUGGCUUCAGACUGACGCUGAGGUGCGAAAGCGGGGGGAGCAAACGGGAUUAGAAACCCCAGUAGUCC
rnacentral:rRNA from 1 species